UACGUAGGGUGCAAGCGUUGUCCGGAAUUAUUGGGCGUAAAGAGCUCGUAGGCGGUUUGUCGCGUCGGCUGUGAAAACCUGGGGCUCAACCCCCGGGCCUGCAGCCGAUACGGGCAAACUAGAAUUCGGUAGGGGAGACUGGAAUUCCUGGUGUAGCGGUGAAAUGCGCAGAUAUCAGGGGGAACACCGGUGGCGAAGGCGGGUCUCUGGGCCGAUAUUGACGCUGAGGAGCGAAAGCGUGGGGAGCAAACAGG
rnacentral:rRNA from 1 species